rnacentral:rRNA from 1 species
UACGUAGGGACCAAGCGUUGUUCGGAUUUACUGGGCGUAAAGGGCGCGUAGGCGGCGUGGUAAGUCAAUUGUGAAAUCUCCGAGCUUAACUCGGAACGGUCAAUUGAUACUGCUGUGCUAGAGUGCAGAAAGGGCAAUCGGAAUUCUUGGUGUAGCGGUGAAAUGCGUAGAUAUCAAGAGGAACACCUGAGGCGAAGGCAGCUCGCUGGGACGGUACUGACGCUAAGGCGCGAAAGCGUGGGGAGCGAACAGG